GAUGAAGAACGCAGCGAAAUGCGAUAAGUAGUGUGAAUUGCAGAAUUCAGUGAAUCAUCGAAUCUUUGAACGCACAUUGCGCCCGUUAGCAUUCUAGCGGGCAUGCCUGUCCGAGCGUCAUUUCAACCCUCAGGGUCCCCGUUCCGGCGGGGAACCUGGUGUUGGGGAUCGGCCCGCCCCGUGCGGCGCCGUCCCCCAAAUUCAGUGGCGGUCUCGCUGCAGCCUCCCCUGCGUAGUAGUUACAACCUCGCAUCGGAGCUCAGCGCGGCCACGCCGUAAAACCCCCGACUUUCUGAACGUUGACCUCGGAUCAGGUAGGAAUACCCGCUGAACUUAAGCAUAUCAAAAGCGGAGGA
rnacentral:misc_RNA from 1 species